UCCCGGCAAACGUGGACAUCGCUAAGGGGAAGACAUUCCUCAUACGGUGCAGCAAGAAUGCAGAGCCCUCUGAAGCCUUCUUCGUUGCUGCGGGCCUCAGGGUGCACACUGUACACAUUGUGCAGAGCCCAACCGGAAAAUAGAGGAGCUUGAGCAUGCAAAUGCCCGCCUGACAAAGAAGCUUCGCAAAGCCAAAGAGAAGUGUGUCAUGACCAACAUGGUGGAUCAAAUGGAAAAUCUAAUCCAGACUGCCUCCAGCCAGAACGCUGCUGCUGUUACAGCAGCUCUAAUGCUGGACAUCGGCUUAGGUGUUUGCGUGGACGCUGGUG